AUUGAACGCUGGCGGCAUGCCUUACACAUGCAAGUCGAACGGUAACGGGCCUUCGGGUGCCGACGAGUGGCGAACGGGUGAGUAAUACAUCGGAACGUGCCCGAUCGUGGGGGAUAACGAGGCGAAAGCUUUGCUAAUACCGCAUACGAUCUACGGAUGAAAGCAGGGGACCGCAAGGCCUUGCGCGGACGGAGCGGCUGAUGGCAGAUUAGGUAGUUGGUGGGAUAAAAGCUUACCAAGCCGACGAUCUGUAGCUGGUCUGAGAGGAUGAUCAGCCACACUGGGACUGAGACACGGCCCAGACUCCUACGGGAGGCAGCAGUGGGGAAUUUUGGACAAAGGGCGCAAGCCUGAUCCAGCCAUGCCGCGUGCAGGAUGAAGGCCUUCGGGUUGUAAACUGCUUUUGUACGGAACGAAAAGCCUUCUUUUAAUACAGGAGGGUCAUGACGGUACCGUAAGAAUAAGCACCGGCUAACUACGUG
rnacentral:rRNA from 1 species